AUUGAACGCUGGCGGCAUGCUUUACACAUGCAAGUCGAACGGUAACAGGCCGCAAGGUGCUGACGAGUGGCGAACGGGUGAGUAAUGCAUCGGAACGUGCCCAGUCGUGGGGGAUAACUACUCGAAAGAGUAGCUAAUACCGCAUACGAUCUAUGGAUGAAAGCGGGGGACCGUAAGGCCUCGCGCGAUUGGAGCGGCCGAUGUCGGAUUAGGUAGUUGGUGGGGUAAAGGCUCACCAAGCCAACGAUCUGUAGCUGGUCUGAGAGGACGACCAGCCACACUGGGACUGAGACACGGCCCAGACUCCUACGGGAGGCAGCAGUGGGGAAUUUUGGACAAUGGGCGCAAGCCUGAUCCAGCAAUGCCGCGUGCAGGAAGAAGGCCUUCGGGUUGUAAACUGCUUUUGUACGGAACGAAACGGCUCUGGUUAAUACCCGGGGCUAAUGACGGUACCGGAAGAAUAAGCACCGGCUAACUACGUG
rnacentral:rRNA from 1 species